GAUGAACGCUGGCGGCGUGCCUAAUACAUGCAAGUCGAGCGAACGGACGAGAAGCUUGCUCUUCUGACGUUAGCGGCGGACGGGUGAGUAACACGUGGAUAACCUACCUAUAAGACUGGGAUAACUUCGGGAAACCGGAGCUAAUACCGGAUAAUAUAUUGAACCGCAUGGUUCAAUAGUGAAAGACGGUUUUGCUGUCACUUAUAGAUGGAUCCGCGCCGCAUUAGCUAGUUGGUAAGGUAACGGCUUACCAAGGCAACGAUGCGUAGCCGACCUGAGAGGGUGAUCGGCCACACUGGAACUGAGACACGGUCCAGACUCCUACGGGAGGCAGCAGUAGGGAAUCUUCCGCAAUGGGCGAAAGCCUGACGGAGCAACGCCGCGUGAGUGAUGAAGGUCUUCGGAUCGUAAAACUCUGUUAUUAGGGAAGAACAAAUGUGUAAGUAACUAUGCACGUCUUGACGGUACCUAAUCAGAAAGCCACGGCUAACUACGUG
rnacentral:rRNA from 1 species